rnacentral:rRNA from 1 species
ACUCCUACGGGAGGCAGCAGUAGGGAAUCUUCGGCAAUGGGGGAACCCGUGACCGAGCAACGCCGCGUGAGUGAAGAAGGUUUUCGGAUCGUAAAGCUCUGUUGUAAGAGAAGAACGAGUGUGAGAGUGGAAAGUUCACACUGUGACGGUAUCUUACCAGAAAGGGACGGCUAACUACGUGCCAGCAGCCGCGGUAAUACGUAGGUCCCGAGCGUUAUCCGGAUUUAUUGGGCGUAAAGCGAGCGCAGGCGGUUUAGAUAAGUCUGAAGUUAAAGGCUGUGGCUUAACCAUAGUACGCUUUGGAAACUGUUUAACUUGAGUGCAGAAGGGGAGAGUGGAAUUCCAUGUGUAGCGGUGAAAUGCGUAGAUAUAUGGAGGAACACCGGUGGCGAAAGCGGCUCUCUGGUCUGUAACUGACGCUGAGGCUCGAAAGCGUGGGAGCAAACAGGAUUAGAUACCCUGGUAGGAUAGCG